GAAAUGCGAUAAGUAGUGUGAAUUGCAGAAUUCAGUGAAUCAUCGAAUCUUUGAACGCACAUUGCGCCCUUUGGUAUUCCUUAGGGCAUGCCUGUUCGAGCGUCAUUUGACCCCUCAAGCUCCGCUUGGUGUUGGGCGUCUGUCCGCCUUCCCGGCGGACUCGCCUCAAAGUCAUUGGCGGCCGGUACGUUGGCUUCGAGCGCAGCAGAAACGCGGUCUCGAGGUCCCGGGACCGGCUCCCAGAAGCGAACCCCAUCAAAGGUUGACCUCGGAUCAGGUAGGGAUACCCGCUGAACUUAA
rnacentral:misc_RNA from 1 species